rnacentral:lncRNA from 1 species
UUGUUCAGCUUUGCUCAGAUAAACUCAAGUCAGUUUAGUUUGGUUCAUGUCAUCUUCAGUUCAGUUCAGGUUAGUUUAGUUCAGAUGGUUCAUGUCAUCUCAGUUCAUCUUCAGUUCAGUUCAUCUUCAGUUCAGCCCAGUUCAGUUCAGUUCAGUUCAGUUCAGUUCAGUUCAGGUUAGUUUAGUUCAGAAGGUUCCGAUCCCAUAUCCGCCUCAUUAUCAAGCAUUCAGCUCUCUGCAUCUAGUGCCCCUCCAUCCUCAGCUUUUGAUUGGAUUAGCAGCAUCAGGAGUGCAGGCAUUGAUAACAGAGGGACUGAGCAAAGCAUGUCUGUGCAUGUGAGAGCAGUUCUGUCUAGCUUGCAUUGCGUUGCACUGUGUGUGUGUGUGUGUGUGUGUGUGUGUGUGUGUGUGUGUGUGUGUGUGUGCGCAUUUGUGUGUGUGUGUGUGUGUGUGUGUGUUUGUGUGUGUGUGUGUGUGUGUGCGCAUUUGUGUGUGUGUGUGUGUGUGUGUGUGUGUGUGUGUGUGUGUGCGCAGCGGUAGCGGUAGCCAUAAGGACAAGGGCACGACUCCUUGUUCUUGCUGAGUGUGGAGAGACUGUAACAUGCGGCCCUGACAUUUUUACAACCCCGCGACUGAGCCCUCUCGCCCCCUAGUAAUGGGAACAUGAUAGAUGUUGUUGUUUUGUUUUUCUUUUUACUUCACUCCUCUUACUUACACACACUCACUCACACACACGCACGCGUACACACACAUACACACACACACACACACACACACACACACACACACACACACACACACACACACUCCUUCUGGCAGGUGUUUCAGAGAGCUCCCGUAAGGGUGAUCAAGCCCCCCUCUGAGCCCCUGAAGCCCAGCCGCAGUCCCCUCUCCCUGGGGCAGAGGAACACGGGACUGGGACUGAAGAAUGCCUCCAACUCUUCUUCCAAGCCCCUGCAGUCGUCAGCGGCGACACGCCUGAAGCACCUGCAGCAGAGCAGCCUUGAGCGGCGAAGCAGGAAGCAGCGCGAGGACUUCCCCAAGCUGCAGCAGGGCCAGCAGGGGCAGCAGCAGGUCUUCCACUUCUGAGGUUGCGCUAGCCACACUAGCCGUCAGCCGCACAACGCUAGCUGCCACCAGUUAGCCGUUAGCCGCUAAGAGCUAGCCAUUAGCCUGCUAAGCGCUAGCAGUUAGCCCACUAAUAGCUAGCCAUUAGCCGCCGAGGGCUAAGAGCUGGCCGAUAGCCAACAAAACUGAACUGCUACGCUAACUCUGCUCUACACUUUCCAGACGACAGCCUCCAUGGCCAUGACCUUUGACCUCUGCCGUGGCACUCACAUCCCAUGCCAGCUGAGAGCUGGGUACCCUCCGCCUCGACCUGUGCCAUCUGUGCCAUCUGUAAUCCCCCGACUGAUCCCGUGCCCUCCUGGUCCCGUCACCCAUCCCCCCCUGCAGAGGUGCCAGGCUGCCAGCGGUGGCAUGGGCGGUGACCUGCAUUGCUGGACUGGGGCGCUGCAGAUGCUGGAUCGCCGCCACGCUGCGCAGUUGUGUCAUCUGCUGCCAUGUCCGGGCUCCACUGUCAUCAUUCCUUAUCCCUCUCUCUCCUCCCACACAUGGCAGCCUGACUCUGGCCCACAUCCUAGCAGGAUCUGGGCCAUUAUCAGCUAACGUCUUUGCUAUGUUCGUUUUCAUGCUCGUGAGGAGGUUCUGUGAGCUCUUCCAAGUCUUCAGGCUGUGCAGCACACUAAUCUUCGGUGCCGUCUCUCAGCAAAAAAAAAACAGCACAAGGUCACAGCCAAGGUAGCGGGUCAUAAACUUCUAGCAGUUGUAAUCUGUGUUUAUCUGGUGCUUCGCCAGUACCUCUCAUCAGAAGCCAAGGCAUCUGUUUGCUGUGUGUGUGUGUUUGCCGUGUGUGUGUGUGUGUGUGUGUGUGUGUGUGUGUGUGUGUGUUAGUGUCUGUUUUGUGGGAGAGGAGGAGGAGAAAUCAAGGGAGAAAAGAGAAGGAGGUGAUGUAAAAGCAGACUGAGUUUAAUGAUGAUUUAAUUUGACUCGGUGUGUGUGUGUGUGUGUGUGUGUGUGUGUGUGUGUGUGUGUGUGUGUCUGAGCCUGUGUGCGUCUGUGUGUGCGUCACUGUGUUACUGGAUCACCAUUUUUUCCCCCGGUCUCUUUAGCUAAAAAGCCAAGCGGUGCCAAAGUGAGAGAAGCUGUCCCCAUUCCCAGUGUGUGCUGUGAGUGUGUGUGCUCUGAGUGUGUGUGCUCUGAGUGUGUGUGCUGUGAGUGUGUGUGCUGUGUCUCGAUAUCAGAGCACGCCAUGUGGAGCUUUGAUUGCUCCCCUCUCCUCUCCUCCAAUACACAGCUGUCUUCUGCUCUCCCUCUCUUCUCGGAGUGAAUGAAUGACUGACCAAAAAUAGAAAGCAGGAGAGAUGGAUAGAAGGUGAGAGAGAGAGAAGAAGAGAGAGAGGGAUGGCGCGGGGACUGUGGUGUCUGCCAGUGAAAGACAAGGAAGGGAGGAUGAAAGACAAAAAAAAGAAAGAUUACACAGAUGCAGAGAGAGGGGGGGUUAGGAUAGACACAAACGGUCAAAGAAAGACAAAAACAAAUAGGAUGACAGGCUGGCACAUAAAAGCACAAACCAUUUUAACAGUCUAAAGAAGUAAACAUGUGAAAGAGCGAGAGAGGGAGAGAGAGAAACCAAAGAAAGAAUAAAAGCAAGGGCGGCAGGCGGAAGAGAAAGCGA